rnacentral:lncRNA from 1 species
AUAUGGUGAUACAAAAUCCACAAUCAACUUAUAGCCUUGAUUUAUAAAUAUUUAACUCACAAGAAUCUAAUAAUCUGGUUCAAAGAUUUACAAGAAAUUCCACCAAGAUAUAAGCUCUAUGAUUUUACAUUGAGAUCAACUCCUCAAAUAAGUAAAAUAUUUUUAUUUGCAGUACUGCAAACAUUUCGGGAUCUUGUAAAUCUACUAAUAACACAAUGAUAUCCAUAUUGAUCAAAAUCAAAAGUACUAUACUUUCCAACGAUCUUUUUUUUUU